UUAAGCAUAUCAAUAAGCGGAGGAAAAGAAACCAACAGGGAUUGCCUUAGUAGCGGCGAGUGAAGCGGCAAAAGCUCAAAUUUGAAAUCUGGCACUUUCAGUGUCCGAGUUGUAAUUUGAAGAAGGUAUCUUUGGGUCUGGCUCUUGUCUAUGUUUCUUGGAACAGAACGUCACAGAGGGUGAGAAUCCCGUGCGAUGAGAUGUCCCAGACCUAUGUAAAGUUCCUUCGAAGAGUCGAGUUGUUUGGGAAUGCAGCUCUAAGUGGGUGGUAAAUUCCAUCUAAAGCUAAAUAUUGGCGAGAGACCGAUAGCGAACAAGUACAGUGAUGGAAAGAUGAAAAGAACUUUGAAAAGAGAGUGAAAAAGUACGUGAAAUUGUUGAAAGGGAAGGGCUUGAGAUCAGACUUGGUAUUUUGUAUGUUACUCUCUCGGGGGUGGCCUCUACAGUUUACCGGGCCAGCAUCAGUUUGAGCGGUAGGAUAAGUGCAAAGAAAUGUGGCACUGCUUCGGUAGUGUGUUAUAGUCUUUGUCGAUACUGCCAGCUUAGACUGAGGACUGCGGCUUCGGCCUAGGAUGUUGGCAUAAUGAUCUUAAGUCGCCCGUCUUGAAACACGGACCAAGGAGUCUAACGUCUAUGCGAGUGUUUGGGUGUAAAACCCGUACGCGUAAUGAAAGUGAACGUAGGUAGGACCUCCUUUAGGAGUGCACUAUCGACCGAUCCUGAUGUCUUCGGAUGGAUUUGAGUAAGAGCAUAGCUGUUGGGACCCGAAAGAUGGUGAACUAUGCCUGAAUAGGGUGAAGCCAGAGGAAACUCUGGUGGAGGCUCGUAGCGGUUCUGACGUGCAAAUCGAUCGUCGAAUUU
rnacentral:rRNA from 1 species